CUAGACAUUUCUUCAUCUUUCUCAGCCAGAAACGCCGUAGCAGGUCUCCUAUGCUGGUUUUUCAUAUUUUUGCACCAUUUUUGACAAGCCAGCUCGGAAAUCGGGAACGGUCGGAGGCCCACUCACACUAUCCGUAUACCAUCUUGGCAUAAUGGCUUGUAUAUUUUGAGUAUGGCAUGUAUAGCAUUAUAAUCAUUUUGUAUAUAUGGUCUUAUGAUAUGGAUAUUGAGUGGUAUAUGGAAAUGCUUGGUAAUGAUUAGCCAUUGGAAUGGCUAAUCAUGAUCAUAUUUGGUGUUAUGUAUGCUAAAUUGCUAGCUAAUCCAUGGAAACCAUGAAAUAGGAAAAAUUUACCAUAAAAUAGAUUCAGACAGCAGCAAUGACGUGAGUUUGAAAAAUAAUUAAAAAUAAUAGAGAUAAAAUUAGAUGAUGAAUAAAAUAUGGAAUUGAAUAAUUAUGAGUCUAUUUUCAUAUGGAUGGAACAAAACAGGUAUAUGAGUUAUAUUUUAUGAGAAGUUUAAAUUUUUGUGAAA